ensembl:lncRNA
GGGAAAUGGAGUCCGGGUCAGGAGGAUUCUGGGAGUCGUAGUUUCUACUGUUCCCUGUGCGCACGCGCAUUUCCGUUUUCGCGUCCUGCCGCCUUUUGCUCGGCCGCGCGGCAGACAGACGUGUACACGUGUGCCUGGCCGUUUUUCGAUCUGCGGUAGCUCAGGCUCCUCGUUCAGUGGGAAGGGAUCCCGGGGCGGGAGGGGGGUGGGGAAUGUGACUGACAGACUUGGGUCCUCCAUCAAUUACAAUUGCCAAUUGUAAUUGGGCAAUGACAGUCUCCGAGAUGCAGGACGUAGGGGCAGCGCGUUAGGGCCCGGAGGACGAGGCAUCAGAGCCCAAACCUUGGGGUGUGGCAUAGGACCUGGCCGAGGGGCGACGCGUCCAAAGUCUGGGGCCUUGAGAGCCUAGAGUCUCCAGUGAGCAGGGCUACUACGACGUUGAAAGGACCCUCGAGUUAGACUGCGGAGAUGGGCUUUAUCCCCCCACAGUGUAGAGCUGUUGUCAGUUUCAGGCGGGGCGCGCUGUGGCCCUAAUUUCAUUUUAUUAAGUCAUGCAAGAAAUGCGCCAGCAGCUACAGUCCGUGUACAGCCCUGCAGCCUUGUACCACUGCAGGUAGUAAAGCUGGAGAGACUCUGCUUUCAGAGGGACCCAGCCUAAAACAACCCGUUAUAAGAUGAUCUUACUUUCUUGGAAAUGCUGCAUUACAAAAAAAUGGGAAGAAGAAUCAAAAGGAGCAAAAACAUGAUCGUCUAUCGAGAACCUUCCUUGGAGAAGGGUAGACUCUUGCCUGUUACGCAUUCGUCUGUGUGAGGGGAACGGAGUGAGGGUAGAGGAAGCAGGAUGCUGAGGGAGCUGGAGCAGCUUUGUCGUCUAGGAUGACCCCGUUGCACACCUGUGUUGGCUGCUUACUACUGACUCUCUGAUCCUGGCAGAUGUCCGCCUCUGAACCUGUUUCCUCACCUGUAACACAGAGGCAGUAAAUGCCAACUCAUACGGUGAGACACAGAGACCAUGUCAGCUGAGUGCCGAGCCCGGUGCCCAGGCCCUGGUGUGCGUCAGUAAAUGCUGUCUUGGUGGAACAGCCCUGUGUAAUCAGCUUGGGACUGUCUGGGACCAAGUUUCUCCUGCUGCUUCGUGUGUGCUUACUUCCCUUCCACAGUAAAAUGGUGAGCCUCUCAAAGGCAGUGAUAGAAGUCUGUGAUCAAUAGACACAUUAUCCCUUUCAAAUAAACGACUCCAGCGUUACUGCCCAGACCAGCAGAGGCCUCAGCCCCUAGGGUUUGCUUGCUUCCCAUAGCAGGUCGGUGCCCAGGAAGCCACUCUGAGACAGUUAUGUAUGCAGGAAGUUUAUUGGGGUGGGUUCUUGGGGUCAACACUGUGAUGGAAGGGAAGGAAGCAGGAUGAGGCAGACGUGGACUGCGAUGCAGUCACAAGGCCUCAACUGACCCUGUGGGGAGCACUGGACCUAGAGUGGCCCUUCAGGGUUGUCCUCAGGCUUUAAAUCCCUGCCCUGUCCAGUCAUUGGAUGUGGCUGCCCUGAGAAGGAGGCACUGCCAGCCCGCACAUUCCCGGCCACGGGGAAAGAAGUGAAGUGGGGGCUCUGGGUGGAGCAGUGCCCACCACACCUUCAGUUCUAAUGGGUGGCUCUGGAGGAUGUGGCGGUUACUGCUAGCUCUCCACCCAGUGUCCACUCACCCCUUCUUCCUUAUUAAGAGGUGCCUGAUUGUUUGAGACAGCAGUGUGCCCAAUAAAAAUACUCACUUUCCUAGACUCCUUUGCAGUGGAGGUGGGCCAGCGACCGCACUGUGGCUAGUAAGAUGUAAAUAGCAGUCUGGGCUCCUGAUGACGUGGUGGAGCCGUUAGAGAAAAUGAAAGGCUGUAUCUGCUUAACCACUGUGAUCAGGUUUCUGUUGUAUGUAACCAAACAGUUCUAAAUGGUUCACAGAGGCAUUAUCAUAUCCUGUCUUAAGAACAGGGUCCUUCAAGUUAAAUGAACGACACCUCUGGGUCCCAGCUCUGUGCAUACCAGCUAGCUAUGUGGAACCUCGGAGGAGUCACUCCACCCGGCUUCCUGUUUCUGUAAAAUGGGAACGACAGGACUACCUGGCACAUGUCUCAUGUAACACUAGGGUAGCCAACUUGUUCCAGUUUGCCUGGACUUGCUCGGUUUUAGCACUGAAAUCCCAGACAAACAGGGACAGCUGGUCACCCCAUUAAAACACAUCCCCAAACACCCUACCUCCUUUACGGAUGGAAGACUGGGCCCUGAAGGCUAAAAAUUCUAUUUGAUGCUGCCUCCUAGUGGCUGAAUAAAACAUAACUUCACUGCGAAAAUCAGUUUUAGAUUCUAUAAGUGGUUUUAUCUUAACAAAAAUAGCAACCGCAGAUGGUUAGAGGCCAAGUCGGAAUAUUCUCCUAACCAUUUAGAUUUAAAUUAAACUGCCGUGACCCCACUAUGUUUUAGUACUUCUUGAUAUUCGCCAGCAAAUAUAGUAUCUUGUAGGGCUAUCGGGAGGAUUAAAUUAAAUUAGUGUAGGAAAAGCCUUUUCCAUGGUGUGUCCCACAGUACAUGGCUGUGAAGUUCACCUGUGUCGCGUAACCUGGGGUCAGACUCGGGGCUGUGACCCUUCCUUUGGGAAAGUGACUUCACCCCUGAGCCUGUCUCCUCAUUUGUAAUAGCGGUAAUGGGCCCUUCCUCAGAGGGCUGUUUAGAUUGAUAAAGAAAUGCUUGUGGGGCCCCUUGACGGAAGCAUGACCCAAAACUGGUGCCUUUACUAUUGACAGAGUUAUCCAGAAGCCAGGCCUCAGGCCAUCCCUCUGCUGAGGGGCUCUGCAGUUCUGGGAGGAGCGUGCCAGCCCCUCAGGGAUACCUUCUCUUCAUCAAGGCGUCUCAGCUGGCAGCUGGGCUUCAGAGGCCAGAAGGCCUGACCAGGCACGCUGAUGAAUUCAGCCGGUUCCCCUUAAGCCGAAGCUAUUAUGACUCAUUUGAGCUGGCCACUGGGCAGGCAAUAAACAGGGGUACGACCCCAACAUUCAGUUCAGUGGCCUUGAGCAACGACCAGAACUCUGUGC